UAUGUACGUUAUCAACAUAAAUAUGUAAUUCUUCUAUACAAAUGAUCUAUUAUAAAUAAAACUUUUAUUACAUCUUAUAGAACCACAUGUACUGAUUCUGAGCAACGUCGUAUCGAAUUGGAAAACCGCUAUAAAACAUUUCAUAUUCCUUAUGUUAUGCGUUAUUCUUUUUAAAAGGUACUUACAAUGUAGCUUUAUAGAAAAAUAAUAAUACUGUAUCAAAUACUAUGGAUAGUUGAUAUAGAUGUCGGGAUUUCACAUGCAUACAAUAAAAUUAUCGGCUAGUUAAAAUGUAAGUUAUUAUUACAAUUAUUUGUGCAUUGAUUUUUUUUUUAUUCUCACAGACAAAUGCAUUGCAUGCAAUAAGAGUGUUCGCCCCAGACAAGAGGCCAUUCAGUGUGAAGGAUGUGAACUAUGGCAACACAGAGCAUGUAAUACUGGAAUCAGCCGUGACCAGUAUAGACGAAUAGGGAAACUGCAAGAAGACCUCCAGUGGGUUUGCGCCCGGUGCUUGGAAAAUCCUACUGAUACAGAAGAGUUUGUAGCUGCAGCUGAUGCCACAUUUCACGUGUCAAUAGCCUCCCUUGGUUCAUCAGUUGCUGAACCCGAUGAUGAAGAUGAACAGGAGGAUGAAUCUACAGGAGAACAAACAAUGAUCUAGAAGGUUGGCACAACCAAAUCAACUCUAGAAUGAACUCCAGAGGACGAGUCCCAUUUUACCUCCUAUUACAAGAACUGUACACAGGGUCACUGCCAUCCCCAUGCAGGCCAGGCUGCUGACAGAAGGGAAGAUGGAGAGACUACACAGGAAACAGUCCUCCAGACUCAACGGUAAACUAUUCCAACUUUGGGAGGAAUACAAUGCCAGACAGAUCAGCACCACCCAGCUGCUGAGAAUGUGCUCGUAGUUAUAUGGACCUGUUGACAUCUAAUGUUAAUUUCUGUUCUGUUGUGUUAAGUGUUACUUCAGCGGUGUUGGGGGAAAAUGUUUGACUGUAUAAUUCAUUUAUUUAUUUGAGUGAUUGAAAACUGUAUGAUGGUAAAUGUUUGUUUGACAUAAGUACUGCUAAAUAAAACACAUUUAAAAAUGCU